UUGGAGGGCAAGUCUGGUGCCAGCAGCCGCGGUAAUUCCAGCUCCAAUAGCGUAUAUUAAAGUUGUUGCAGUUAAAAAGCUCGUAGUUGAAUUUCGGGAUCAAUAUAUCGGUCGUGCCAUUGGUACGUACUGGUAUCAUUGGUUUCUCCUUUCUGACGAACCAUGAUGUCAUUAAUUUGGUGUUAUGGGAAGUUAGGACUGUUACUUUGAAAAAAUUAGAGUGUUUAAAGCAGGCUUUAGCUUGAAUACAUUAGCAUGGAAUAAUGAAAUAGGACGUUCGAACCUAUUUUGUUGGUUUCUGGGAUCAACGUAAUGAUUAAUAGGGAUAGUUGGGGGCAUUAGUAUUCAAUUGUCAGAGGUGAAAUUCUUGGAUUUAUUGAAGACUAACUACUGCGAAAGCAUUUGCCAAGGAUGUUUUCAUUAAUCAAGAACGAAAGUUAGGGGAUCGAAGACGAUCAGAUACCGUCGUAGUCUUAACCAUAAACUAUGCCGACUAGGGAUCGGAUGNUGUUAAUUUUUUAAUGACUCAUUCGGCGCCUUACGGGAAAC
rnacentral:rRNA from 1 species